rnacentral:rRNA from 1 species
UACGUAGGGGGCGAGCGUUGUCCGGAUUUAUUGGGCGUAAAGAGCUCGUAGGCGGUUUGGUAAGUCGGGUGUGAAAACCCCAGGCUCAACCUGGGGACGCCACCUGAUACUGCUAUGACUUGAGUCUGGUAGGGGACCACGGAAUUCCUGGUGUAGCGGUGAAAUGCGUAGAUAUCUGGAAGAACACCGGUGGCGAAGGCGGCAUUCUGGACUGCAACUGACACUGAAAGACGAAAGCCAGGGGAGCAAACGGG